GAUGAACGCUGGCGGCGUGCCUAAUACAUGCAAGUCGAGCGAACAGACGCGUAGCUUGCUCCUCUGACGGUAUCGGCGGACGGGUGAGUAGCACGUGGUUAACCUACCUAUACCACUGGCAUAAUUUCGGGAAACCGGAGUGAAUACCGCAUAAUAUAUUGAACCUCUUGGUUCAUUAGUGUAGGACGGUUUUUCUUUCACUUGUGGAUGGAUCCGCGCCGCAUUAGCUAGUUGGUAAGGUAACGGCUUACCAAGGCAACGAUGCGUAGCCGCCCUGAGAGGGUGAUCGGCCGCACUGGAACGGAGGCACGGUCGAGCAUCCUACGGGAGGCAGCAGUAGGGAAGCUUACGGAAUGGGCGAAGGAUUGACGGAGCAGCGCCGCGGGAGGGAUGAAGGUCGUCGGCUCGUAAAAAUCUGUUAUUGGGGAAGAACAAAUGUGUAAGUGACUAUGCACGUCUUGACGGUACCUAAUCAGAAAGCCACGGCUAACUACGUG
rnacentral:rRNA from 1 species